AUCUGUCAGCGCCUCCGGGGCCCGCACCUGAGGUGGAGAGCGGACGGGCUGACCCGGCGAACCGCGCUCUGGGAGCCGCGUCCUGCUGCAAGCGACGCGCACACGCCCGUGAAAUUAAUGGUUCAGAGAGCUGUCUGUGUGGAGGAAUGAAGCAGAGGAUCGAACUCGGGUCCUUGCACUUGUGCAGCAGGUGGCGAAACCACUGAGCUAAAUCCCCAGCCCCCAAUAAUCAAUCUUGACAUAGAGG
rnacentral:lncRNA from 1 species